UACGUAGGGUGCGAGCGUUGUCCGGAAUUAUUGGGCGUAAAGAGCUCGUAGGCGGCCUGUCGCGUCGGAUGUGAAAGCCCGGGGCUUAACCUGGGAACUGCAUCCGAUACUGGAUGGCUUGAAUCCGGGAGAGGGAUGCAGAAUUCCAGGUGUAGCGGUGAAAUGCGUAGAUAUCUGGAGGAACACCGGUGGCGAAGGCGGCAUCCUGGACCAACACUGACACUGAGGAGCGAAAGCCAGGGGAGCAAACGGG
rnacentral:rRNA from 1 species